rnacentral:tRNA from 1 species
UAGAAAGAAGCUUGUAGGUUAAAGCAUUUAGCUGUUAACUAAAUUUUUGUGGGGUCGAAGCCCGCCUUUCUAG